GUGGGGAAUAUUGGGCAAUGGGGGCAACCCUGACCCAGCGACGCCGCGUGAGGGAAGAAGGCCUUAGGGUCGUAAACCUCUGUUGUGUGGGAAGAAGGAAGUGACGGUACCAGCAGAAGAAGCCCCGGCUAACUCCGUGCCAGCAGCCGCGGUAAUACGUAGGGGACGAGCGUUGUCCGGAUUUACUGGGCGUAAAGGGCGCGUAGGCGGUCAUUUAAGUCAGCUGUGAAAUGGUUUGGCUUAACCGGAUCAUGCGGUUGAAACUGGAAGACUGGAGUGCUGGAGAGGAAAGUGGAAUUCCCAGUGUAGCGGUGAAAUGCGUAGAUAUUGGGAAGAACACCGGUGGCGAAGGCGACUUGCUGGCCAGCAACUGACGCUGAGGCGCGAAAGCCAGGGGAGCAAACGGGAUUAGAUACCCCUGUAGUCC
rnacentral:rRNA from 1 species